GAAAAUCUUACAAGACCCAGGUUCUCCAUUGGCUCAUCUCUUCCACAAUCAACAGGCGAUAAGCCGUAAAAAGAAAUAUUCAAAGUCUCAGUCAUUCUCUUCAGCUAGCCAUAUGAGACGUUCUGCGUCAAGAAAACACAAGCCAGUGCAAGAGGGUGUUAGCUCUGACGAUGUAAAGCCCAAUUCGAAAGAUUAUUUUCGCUCAAAAUCAAUGCCAUCAAUGGCUGCUGGGAACAGGAUGGAUAGAAUUCUGAAACUAAACCAAGCAAUUUCUGAGACUCUUGAUCCUUUAUCUUCAAGUUUAGUCCAGAAAAGAAAGAACAAGAGUUUCAAGGAUUUCAGACAUAAGAUAAGAAGCGCUAUUAGACAAAGCAAAAAUGAGAAGCAAAGGAUUACCAUGGAUGGGAUCCUUCACAAGAUUCCUCGUGGUCGCGUUUUAGCCUGUGAGUUGAAAAGUCACCCCUUGAUCAGAGAUGGCAAAGAAAGUUCCAUUAGUAACGACGGUGAUCCUUCUCUUCCUUGUAACAACAAAAAUG
rnacentral:lncRNA from 1 species